rnacentral:lncRNA from 1 species
AGAACAUAAAGGUGCUAUGUGCACAGCCUCCAUAACCUUGCCAGAACCAGUCUGUGGACAGUGGUCAUUUAUCAGGAAGGAAUGAUUUGUAAGUUGGUCAACUGUUAUGUUGAAAUCUUGAAAAGGGAGGGGAGUCUGCCAACAGUGUCAGGCCAUUGGUUGAAACCAGCAGAGAAGUCUUCCAUUCUUCGUUUUCCAGGGCUAGUUUCUGUUUAUCUCUUAGAGAAUAAAAGUGGCGAACAGCAGGGACGACAACAGUUCUCCUGUCCUACCUCUUCAGGUUUGUGAAAGGAAA